AUUGAACGCUGGCGGCAGGCCUAACACAUGCAAGUCGAACGAGUGGCGGACGGGAGAGCAAUGUCUGGGACACGGCCUGAGGGAGGGGGAUAACUACUGGAAACGGUAGCUGAUACCGCAUACCAGUGGAUGUGCCGAGCUGGGUUUAGCUAGUUGGUGGGGUAAAGGCUCACCUAGGCGACGAUCCCUAGCUGGUCUGAGAGGAUGACCAGCCACACUGGAACUUAGACACGGUCCAGACUCCUACGGGAGGCAGCAGUGGGGAAUAUUGCACAAUGGGCGCAAGCCUGAUGCAGCCAUGCCGCGUGUGUGAAGAAGGCCUUCGGGUUGUAAAGUACUUUCAGCUGGGAGGCGUUACCCGCAGAAUAAGCACCGGCUAACUCCGUGCCAGCAGCCGCGGUAAUAC
rnacentral:rRNA from 1 species